rnacentral:rRNA from 1 species
UACGAAGGGGGCUAGCGUUGUUCGGAAUUACUGGGCGUAAAGGGCGCGUAGGCGGUGUGUCAAGUCAGGCGUGAAAGCCCCGGGCUCAACCUGGGAACCGCGCUUGAGACUGGCACGCUCGAGUUCGGGAGAGGAUGGUGGAAUUCCCAGUGUAGAGGUGAAAUUCGUAGAUAUUGGGAAGAACACCGAUGGCGAAGGCAGCCAUCUGGACCGACACUGACGCUGAGGCGGACGAAAGCGUGGGGAGCAAACAGG